AUUGAACGCUGGCGGCAGGCCUAAUACAUGCAAGUCGAGCGGAGCUGCGGACGGGCGAGUAAUGCCUAGGAAUCUGCCUGGCCGUGGGGGCUGACGUCCGGACACGGGCCCUAAUACCGCAUACUAUUUGCUGAGCCUAGGUCGUAUUAGCUCGUUGGUAGGGUAAAGGCCUACCAAGGCGACGAUCCGUAACUGGUCUGAGAGGCUGAUCAGUCACACUGGAACUGAGACACGGUCCAGACUCCUACGGGAGGCAGCAGUGGGGAAUAUUGGGCAAUGGGCGAAAGCCUGAUCCAGCCAUGCCGCGUGAGUGAAGAAGGUCUUCGGAUUGUAAAGCACUUUAAGUUGGGAGGCGUUACCAACAGAAUAAGCACCGGCUAACUUCGUGCCAGCAGCCGCGGUAAUAC
rnacentral:rRNA from 1 species